AUUGAACGCUAGCGGGAUGCCUUACACAUGCAAGUCGAACGGAGUGGCGAACGGGUGAGUAAUGUAUCGGAACGUGCCCAGUAGCGGGGGAUAACUACGCGAAAGCGUAGCUAAUACCGCAUACUAUUGGAGCGGCCGAUAUCGGAUUAGCUAGUUGGUGGGGUAACGGCUCACCAAGGCGACGAUCCGUAGCUGGUUUGAGAGGACGACCAGCCACAGUGGAGCUGGAAACCGGCCCAAGCUCCUACGGGGGGCCACAGGGGGGAAUUGUUGAAAAGGGGGGAAACCCUGAUCCAGCCAUCCCGCGUGUGCGAUGAAGGCCUUCGGGUUGUAAAGCACUUUUGGCAGGAAAGCGGUACCUGCAGAAUAAGCACCGGCUAACUACGUGCCAGCCGCCGCGGUAAUUC
rnacentral:rRNA from 1 species